rnacentral:rRNA from 1 species
GCUUACGGCCAUACCAACCUGGCUAUGCCCGAUCUCGUCUGAUCUCGGAAGCUAAAGCAGGUUUGGGCCUGGUUAGUACUUGAAUGGGAGACCGCCUGGGAAUACCAGGUGCUGUAAGCU